UACGUAGGGUGCGAGCGUUGUCCGGAAUUAUUGGGCGUAAAGAGCUCGUAGGCGGUUUGUCACGUCUGCUGUGAAAUCCCGAGGCUCAACCUCGGGCCUGCAGUGGGUACGGGCAGACUGGAGUGCGGUAGGGGAGACUGGAAUUCCUGGUGUAGCGGUGAAAUGCGCAGAUAUCAGGAGGAACACCGAUGGCGAAGGCAGGUCUCUGGGCCACUACUGACGCUGAGAAGCGAAAGCAUGGGGAGCGAACAGG
rnacentral:rRNA from 1 species